rnacentral:SRP_RNA from 1 species
GCUGGGCAUGGUGGCUCAUGCCUGUAAUCCUAGCACUUUGGGAGGCUGAGGCAGGUGGAUUGCUUGAGCCCAGGAGUUCGAGACCAGCCUGGGCAACACGGCAAAACCCUGUCUCUC